ACAGACAUAGAAUCAUAGCACCGUAUUACCACGCCACUUAGUGUAACGUUAUUAUCCCAUUCCGACGAGUAUAAAUAGCAGACAGAAUUUUAGAUCUAGCAUAACACAAUUUUUGUGCAUCAUAAUUCUUUGUCUAUCACUUCUCUAAGAAACAACAAAAAAACCAAAAAUGGGCGCUGAAAAGGUAUCCAUGAACAUCGUUGUCGUAGGACAAGUUAACUCUGCCAAAACCAUCAAAAUCGUGGCCAAGACUGCUCCCUCCACCAACCAAAUCAUGAAUUGUUAAUUUCAAUUCAUCGCUCUCAAACUUCAAAAAUGCCAUAGCCUACACAACACAUAUUCAUUUAUAGUUUGAUGUAAUAUAUUUUCUUAUAACUAAUAUGUGUUGGUACUAAUAAACAAACCAGAUACAUCAAUA